rnacentral:rRNA from 1 species
GGGUUGUGAGGUUAAGCGACUAAGCGUACACGGUGGAUGCCCUGGCAGUCAGAGGCGAUGAAGGACGUGCUAAUCUGCGAUAAGCGUCGGUAAGGUGAUAUGAACCGUUAUAACCGGCGAUUUCCGAAUGGGGAAACCCAGUGUGUUUCGACACACUAUCAUUAACUGAAUCCAUAGGUUAAUGAGGCGAACCGGGGGAACUGAAACAUCUAAGUACCCCGAGGAAAAGAAAUCAACCGAGAUUCCCCCAGUAGCGGCGAGCGAACGGGGAGCAGCCCAGAGCCUGAAUCAGUGUGUGUGUUAGUGGAAGCGUCUGGAAAGGCGCGCGAUACAGGGUGACAGCCCCGUACACAAAAAUGCACAUACUGUGAGCUCGAUGAGUAGGGCGGGACACGUGGUAUCCUGUCUGAAUAUGGGGGGACCAUCCUCCAAGGCUAAAUACUCCUGACUGACCGAUAGUGAACCAGUACCGUGAGGGAAAGGCGAAAAGAACCCCGGCGAGGGGAGUGAAAAAGAACCUGAAACCGUGUACGUACAAGCAGUGGGAGCACGCUUCGGCGUGUGACUGCGUACCUUUUGUAUAAUGGGUCAGCGACUUAUAUUCUGUAGCAAGGUUAACCGAAUAGGGGAGCCGAAGGGAAACCGAGUCUUAACUGGGCGUUAAGUUGCAGGGUAUAGACCCGAAACCCGGUGAUCUAGCCAUGGGCAGGUUGAAGGUUGGGUAACACUAACUGGAGGACCGAACCGACUAAUGUUGAAAAAUUAGCGGAUGACUUGUGGCUGGGGGUGAAAGGCCAAUCAAACCGGGAGAUAGCUGGUUCUCCCCGAAAGCUAUUUAGGUAGCGCCUCGUGAAUUCAUCUCCGGGGGUAGAGCACUGUUUCGGCAAGGGGGUCAUCCCGACUUACCAACCCGAUGCAAACUGCGAAUACCGGAGAAUGUUAUCACGGGAGACACACGGCGGGUGCUAACGUCCGUCGUGAAGAGGGAAACAACCCAGACCGCCAGCUAAGGUCCCAAAGUCAUGGUUAAGUGGGAAACGAUGUGGGAAGGCCCAGACAGCCAGGAUGUUGGCUUAGAAGCAGCCAUCAUUUAAAGAAAGCGUAAUAGCUCACUGGUCGAGUCGGCCUGCGCGGAAGAUGUAACGGGGCUAAACCAUGCACCGAAGCUGCGGCAGCGACACUAUGUGUUGUUGGGUAGGGGAGCGUUCUGUAAGCCUGUGAAGGUGUGCUGUGAGGCAUGCUGGAGGUAUCAGAAGUGCGAAUGCUGACAUAAGUAACGAUAAAGCGGGUGAAAAGCCCGCUCGCCGGAAGACCAAGGGUUCCUGUCCAACGUUAAUCGGGGCAGGGUGAGUCGACCCCUAAGGCGAGGCCGAAAGGCGUAGUCGAUGGGAAACAGGUUAAUAUUCCUGUACUUGGUGUUACUGCGAAGGGGGGACGGAGAAGGCUAUGUUGGCCGGGCGACGGUUGUCCCGGUUUAAGCGUGUAGGCUGGUUUUCCAGGCAAAUCCGGAAAAUCAAGGCUGAGGCGUGAUGACGAGGCACUACGGUGCUGAAGCAACAAAUGCCCUGCUUCCAGGAAAAGCCUCUAAGCAUCAGGUAACAUUAAAUCGUACCCCAAACCGACACAGGUGGUCAGGUAGAGAAUACCAAGGCGCUUGAGAGAACUCGGGUGAAGGAACUAGGCAAAAUGGUGCCGUAACUUCGGGAGAAGGCACGCUGAUAUGUAGGUGAAGUCCCUCGCGGAUGGAGCUGAAAUCAGUCGAAGAUACCAGCUGGCUGCAACUGUUUAUUAAAAACACAGCACUGUGCAAACACGAAAGUGGACGUAUACGGUGUGACGCCUGCCCGGUGCCGGAAGGUUAAUUGAUGGGGUUAGCGGUAACGCGAAGCUCUUGAUCGAAGCCCCGGUAAACGGCGGCCGUAACUAUAACGGUCCUAAGGUAGCGAAAUUCCUUGUCGGGUAAGUUCCGACCUGCACGAAUGGCGUAAUGAUGGCCAGGCUGUCUCCACCCGAGACUCAGUGAAAUUGAACUCGCUGUGAAGAUGCAGUGUACCCGCGGCAAGACGGAAAGACCCCGUGAACCUUUACUAUAGCUUGACACUGAACAUUGAGCCUUGAUGUGUAGGAUAGGUGGGAGGCUUUGAAGUGUGGACGCCAGUCUGCAUGGAGCCGACCUUGAAAUACCACCCUUUAAUGUUUGAUGUUCUAACGUUGACCCGUGAUCCGGGUUGCGGACAGUGUCUGGUGGGUAGUUUGACUGGGGCGGUCUCCUCCUAAAGAGUAACGGAGGAGCACGAAGGUUGGCUAAUCCUGGUCGGACAUCAGGAGGUUAGUGCAAUGGCAUAAGCCAGCUUGACUGCGAGCGUGACGGCGCGAGCAGGUGCGAAAGCAGGUCAUAGUGAUCCGGUGGUUCUGAAUGGAAGGGCCAUCGCUCAACGGAUAAAAGGUACUCCGGGGAUAACAGGCUGAUACCGCCCAAGAGUUCAUAUCGACGGCGGUGUUUGGCACCUCGAUGUCGGCUCAUCACAUCCUGGGGCUGAAGUAGGUCCCAAGGGUAUGGCUGUUCGCCAUUUAAAGUGGUACGCGAGCUGGGUUUAGAACGUCGUGAGACAGUUCGGUCCCUAUCUGCCGUGGGCGCUGGAGAACUGAGGGGGGCUGCUCCUAGUACGAGAGGACCGGAGUGGACGCAUCACUGGUGUUCGGGUUGUCAUGCCAAUGGCACUGCCCGGUAGCUAAAUGCGGAAGAGAUAAGUGCUGAAAGCAUCUAAGCACGAAACUUGCCCCGAGAUGAGUUCUCCCUGACUCCUUGAG